UCGUCGUCCUCAUCCCAAUCGAUAAAACUAAGAAGAAUCAGGCUCGAGCUUGGAGUCGAAUUGGAGAUACGCCCUGGAGAAGGAGUCUUGGUGCCUGGCUUCGUACGAAUAAGGAAUUGAUCGCCUUGAUUCUGCCAUAUUCAACGGGGACUCAAACUAGUUUGCGCACUUGAUGUGGCAAUUGGACGAACGACUUGUGUGCAGCGCCAGCACGAACCAAUUUGAUUUCCGACUUGGUUGCUUUGCUACCGCCAAAUCUCACUUCACCAUUGCCUCUGUAUUCAAUGGGCAGAUCAACAGUUUUGUAUUUCUUGUUGGUGCAAAAACAACUUGACUGCAGAUUUGUUCACUUUGUGGCGUCAUGAUCAGCAACAACUUCUCGUCAACUUCAAAUAACAAUCAACUGAAAGCAUUGGCCGACUAUGGAGAAAACUUUCGUCGUGUUCACGAACGACCUUAGUUCUUGUAAGUUUUGGUAGGACGAUCAUGGGGUGUCAUUUUGGAGGGAGUUUUUAGCACUUCAAUGGUUGUUCGUGAACAACCAAUUUUAUGCAAUAACUCUUGUAGGAGCAGCCCCGUUUCGGAGGAGUUUUGAGCAUGAAACUUGGCUGUUCAUGAACAACCACUCUUGUUUCAAUGCUUGAGCAUCUGAGGCAGCAACACCAUCAAUUUGACAGGCAUGGGAAGACUGUAAUAGUUGUGGUCGUUCAUGAACGGCCUAUUAGAGUCUUGAAGGGCCGUAGGGCAUACGAGGAUUAAUUGGAGAAGCAUGUAUCACAGAGAAGGCAUAUGUAUACCUGUAGCUUUUCUCUUUCUUUCUCUGGUGGCUUCUUCUCUCGUGUGUUUCCACUUCUUUGUAUUUCUUUUGUUCUGCUGUAUAGCGUUUUCUC